rnacentral:rRNA from 1 species
UAUUAAUCUUUAGGUACUAGUAAUAUUCAAACUAAACCAAUAUACUUUGGCGGCAUUUUAUUUUGUUAGAGGAACCCGUUUUAUAAUCGAUACCCCACGAUAAAUUUCACUCACAUUUUAAAUUUUAUAUACCGCCGUAUCAGAAUUAAUUAAAAAAUGCAUUUCUUAAUAUAUUAUAUCAAAAUAUAGGUAAAGGUGUAGACUAUAUAUGAGUACAAAUAGGUUACAUUAAGAAAACUUAAGGACAAAAUUACAAAUAUAUUUUGAAAAAGGAUUUAUAAGUAAUUUUUUAAUAAUAAUUUAAUAUGAAUAAAAUAAAAAUGUGU